rnacentral:tRNA from 1 species
GAGAGAGGUAAGAAACAGUAAGGAUUGCUAAUCCAUACCCCCGUAGUUAAACUCUUCAAACGGAUGGGAGGUCCCACCUGCCCAGUGACAA